GACGAACGCUGGCGGCGUGCCUAAUACAUGCAAGUUGAGCGCUGAAGGUUGGUACUUGUACCAACUGGAUGAGCAGCGAACGGGUGAGUAACGCGUGGGUAAUCUGCCUUUGAGCGGGGGACAACAUUUGGAAACGAAUGCUAAUACCGCAUAAUAACUUUAAACACAAGUUUUAAGUUUGAAAGAUGCAAUUGCAUCACUCAAAGAUGAUCCCGCGUUGUAUUAGCUAGUUGGUGAGGUAAAGGCUCACCAAGGCGAUGAUACAUAGCCGACCUGAGAGGGGGGUCGGCCACAGUGGGACUGAGACCCGGCCCAAACUCCUACGGGAGGCAGCCGUAGGGAAUCUUCGGCAAUGGACGAAAGUCUGACCGAGCAACGCCGCGUGAGGGAAGAAGGGUUUCGGAUCGUAAAACUCUGUUGGUAGAGAAGAAAGUUAGUGAGAGUGGAAAGCUCAUCAAGUGACGGUAACUACCCAGAAAGGGACGGCUAACUACGUG
rnacentral:rRNA from 1 species